AUUGAACGCUGGCGGCAUGCUUUACACGUGCAAGUCGAACGGCAGCGCUGGCUUCGGCCUGGCGGCUAGUUGCGAACUGUUGAGUAAUGCAUCGGAACGGGCCCAGUAGUGGUGGAUAGCCCGGCGAAAGCCGGAUUAAUACCCCAUACGACCUGAGGGUGGAAGCUGGGGACCGAAAUGCCUCGCGCCAUUGUAGCUGCCGAUGUCGGAUAACCUAGGUGGUGCGGUAAAGGCUUACCAAGGCGACGAUCCGUAGCUGGUCUGAGAGGACGACCAGCCACACUGGGACUGAGACACGGCCCAGACUCCUACGGGAGGCAGCAGUGGGGAAUUUUGGACAAUGGGGGCAACCCUGAUCCAGCCAUGCCGCGUGCGGGAAGAAGGCCUUCGGGUUGUAAAACGCUUUUGUUCGGGAAGAAAUCCUCUGGGCUAAUACCCCGGGGGGAUGACGGUACCGGAAGAAUAAGCACCGGCUAACUACGUG
rnacentral:rRNA from 1 species